AGGAGACUCAGGUGUCGAGCAGCUCUCUGCUGGACUGAAGGAUCCAGACAGCAGACUGGAUACACUGAGGGUGGACCAUGGUGGAGAGCAGAGGUUAAAACCUGGAGUGAAGAAGUAUGUCUGUGAACUCACUCUGGACUCAAACACAGCAAACAGACAGCCUC